AGUGAACGCUGGCGGUAGGCCUAACACAUGCGAGUCGAACGGCAGCACAGUAAGAGCUUGCUCUUACGGGUGGCGAGUGGCGGACGGGGGAGGAAUACAUCGGAAUCUACUUUUUCGUGGGGGAUAACGUAGGGAAACUUACGCUAAUACCGCAUACGACGUACGGGUGAAAGCAGGGGAUCUUCGGACCUUGCGCGAGUGAAUGAGCCGAUGUCGGAUUAGCUAGUUGGCGGGGUAAAGGCCCACCAAGGCGACGAUCCGUAGCUGGUCUGAGAGGAUGAUCAGCCACACUGGAACUGAGACACGGUCCAGACUCCUACGGGAGGCAGCAGUGGGGAAUAUUGGACAAUGGGCGCAAGCCUGAUCCAGCCAUACCGCGUGGGUGAAGAAGGCCUUCGGGUUGUAAAGCCCUUUUGUUGGGAAAGAAAAGCAGCAGGUUAAUACCCCGCUGUUCUGACGGUACCCAAAGAAUAAGCACCGGCUAACUUCGUG
rnacentral:rRNA from 1 species